UACGGUAGGGGCGAGCGUUGUCCGGAAUGAUUGGGACGUAAAGGGCGCGCAGGCGGCCUGUCAAGUCAGUAGUGGAAUACCAUUUUUCAAGGAUGGAAGUGCUAUAGAAACUGAUGGGCUUGAGUGCAGGAGAGGUUAUCGGAAUUCCCGGUGUAGCGGUGAAAUGCGUAGAGAUCGGGAGGAACACCAGUGGCGAAGGCGGGUAACUGGACUGCAACUGACGCUGAGGCGCGAAAGUGUGGGGAGCAAACAGGAUUAGAUACCCU
rnacentral:rRNA from 1 species